UACGUAGGUGGCAAGCGUUGUCCGGAUUUACUGGGCGUAAAGAGCGCGCAGGCGGUCGUUCAAGUCGAGUGUGAAAGCCCCCGGCUCAACUGGGGAGGGUCACUCGAUACUGAUCGACUCGAAGGCAGGAGAGGGAAGUGGAAUUCCCGGUGUAGUGGUGAAAUGCGUAGAUAUCGGGAGGAACACCAGUGGCGAAGGCGACUUCCUGGCCUGUUCUUGACGCUGAGGCGCGAAAGCUAGGGGAGCAAACAGG
rnacentral:rRNA from 1 species